GCCUGGGUGGCUCAGUGGUUGAGCGUCUACUUUCAUGACCAGGGCAUGAUCCUAGAGUCGUGGGAUCCAGUCCCACAUCGGGCU
rnacentral:tRNA from 1 species